GAUUACUGUGCUCGACCGUCGAUGAAAUGCGCGGGCAGCAACGAGAAGUGAUGCAAAUUGCAGGACUAAGUGAACCUCGACACCUCGAACGCCCAUUGUAUCUUCGAGAUCC